rnacentral:rRNA from 1 species
GACACGCUGGCGGCGUGCUUAACACAUGCAAGUCGAACGGUGACGAGGAGCUUGCUCCUCUGAUCAGUGGCGAACGGGUGAGUAACACGUGAGCAACCUGCCCCAGACUCUGGGAUAACAGUUGGAAACAGCUGCUAAUACCGGAUACGAGACGGAGAGGCAUCUCUACCGUCUGGAAAGUUUUCGGUCUGGGAUGGACUCGCGGCCUAUCAGCUAGUUGGUGAGGUAAUGGCUCACCAAGGUGACGACGGGUAGCCGGCCUGAGAGGGCGACCGGCCACACUGGGACUGAGACACGGCCCAGACUCCUACGGGAGGCAGCAGUGGGGAAUAUUGCACAAUGGGCGAAAGCCUGAUGCAGCGACGCCGCGUGAGGGAUGACGGCCUUCGGGUUGUAAACCUCUUUCAGCAGGGAAGAAGCGAAAGUGACGGUACCUGCAGAAGAAGCACCGGCUAACUACGUG